GGAUAUAUAGCUCAGUGGUAGAGUGCUUCCCUAGCAAGUAUGUGAGGCCCUGUGUUCAAUUCCCAGUACCUGUUCC
rnacentral:tRNA from 1 species